rnacentral:rRNA from 1 species
GUAAUACGGAGGGUGCGAGCGUUAAUCGGAAUAACUGGGCGUAAAGGGCACGCAGGCGGCUAUUUAAGUGAGGUGUGAAAUCCCCGGGCUUAACCUGGGAAUUGCAUUUCAGACUGGGUAGCUAGAGUACUUUAGGGAGGGGUAGAAUUCCACGUGUAGCGGUGAAAUGCGUAGAGAUGUGGAGGAAUACCGAAGGCGAAGGCAGCCCCUUGGGAAUGUACUGACGCUCAUGUGCGAAAGCGUGGGGAGCAAACAGGAUUAGAUACCCUGGUAGUCCACGCUGUAAACGCUGUCGAUUUGGGGGUUGAACUUUAAGUUUGGCGCCCGUAGCUAACGUGAUAAAUCGACCGCCUGGGGAGUACGGCCGCAAGGUUAAAACUCAAAUGAAUUGACGGGGGCCCGCACAAGCGGUGGAGCAUGUGGUUUAAUUCGAUGCAACGCGAAGAACCUUACCUACUCUUGACAUCCAUGGAAUCCUGUAGAGAUACGGGAGUGCCUUCGGGAACCAUGAGACAGGUGCUGCAUGGCUGUCGUCAGCUCGUGUUGUGAAAUGUUGGGUUAAGUCCCGCAACGAGCGCAACCCUUAUCCUUUGUUGCC